ensembl:lncRNA
AUGAGCAAAGAGGAUGGAGGGCAGCACCACCUGCCCUGGAUCAUCGCGAGUGUUAACAAGGUGACAGGCCUCCAGCAGCUUCCCCAUGGGAGGCUUGGAGGUGAAGAGAUAUGCAGCCGUGUCACAUGGUGUCAUAAGUGGUGGAAUGAGAUGACCCCAAAGCCCUGCUCUGAUUACCAGAUUCCCUUUGCCCCAGCACCAAAGCAGAGGAGACCCAGAAGGAUAAGCCAGAGCAUUGGAGAGCUGGGUUCCCACCCCAACAGUAAGGGUCACCACUGGGCCCCCAGGGGGCUCUCUGGGGCAGACCUCCGCUCCAGGCCACUCGGACACCUUGUCGCCCAAGCCUGCAGGGCUCGCUGCAGCUCCCGGCCUUUGUCCAGCUGGGUUCCCUGGGUCGCAAGGUAUGAGCCACAGAUGUGGGGUGGAGUUUUGAUGCUGUCUUGGGGAGCCUUGGGGAAAUCACUGCCCCUCAGAACCUCGGUUUCCUCCUCUGAAAAAAGAGGGCUUUGCAAUGUAUGGGCUUGAAAAUGAAGGGGAGGAGCUGUUAAGAUUUGCUUCACCGGGCUGUAAGGAAGACCGGGAAGCAAACUGUGAGUGUGUGAAAUUGAUGGCUUGCGCGAUACUGGUGAGCCACUCCCACUGUCCUUUGUCAUCCUGCUUCUCUCUUGAGACCUUUCCUUGUCUUUAGGCGCCCUCUCCCCGCUCCAGAGCCCAGCACUUUGCUCUCUCUUGAACAUUUACGGUGUGCUAACUGCUAACAGCUGCUUUCCCUUCACUCACAACCCCAAGGCCCCCAGACCCGCACCUCCACCCGCCCAGAGCAUCUUCCCAUGGCUCUGUGUCUUCACCCCUGCAGGGCCUGCACAGAGACCCGGCCGCACUCUUCCCACGGGAGGCCUUUCCAUCCUCACUGUCUCCGCCAGGCCCCCAGCCCUGCGUGUGUUUUCUCUCUGUAAUGCUCCCUGGUGCUCUAUGGUGUGUGUACCACAUGCUCAACACUGCUGGGGGCUGGGCUCUUCCUGUUGCCCCCGUUCUGCCCGCAGCUGGACAAGGCAGCCGCCCUCUCACUCAUCACAGGUGGAAACCCAAGUCGGAGCCUGCAGGUUCCUGACCACCCAGCAGUGGGGGCUGGGCUCACCUUCGAUCCUGACUCUUGCCCCAGCACUUUCUGCUCAGGGCUGCCCACUUGGGCCUUCUGAUAAAGGAAGAGAAUGAAGGAGGCCGAGGGAGCAGACCCAGCUCUGAGGAAGCAGACACCCAGUGAAUCCUAAAAGGAAUCAACCCUGAUUAUUCAUUGGAAGGACUGACUGAUGCUGUAGAUGAAGCUUUGAUACUUUGGCCACCUGGUACAAAGAGCCGACUCACUGGAAAAGUCCCUGAUGCUGGGAAAGAUUGAAGGCAGGAGGAGAAGGGGAUGACAGAGGACAAGAUGGUUGGAUGUCAUCACUGACUCAAUGGAAAUGAGUUUGAGCAGGCUCUGGGAGCUGGUGAUAAACAGGAAGGCCUGGCGUGCUGCAUUCCAUGGGGUUGCAAAGAGUCUGACAUGACUGCGCGACUGAACAACAAUCAGGCC